ACGUCCGGCAAGAACUCAGUGCUGUGAUCUGUGUGGUUUUCAUCUUCACAUCACAGUCUGAGUUCUUGCUCGAGGG
rnacentral:pre_miRNA from 1 species